rnacentral:rRNA from 1 species
CCUACGGGUGGCUGCAGUGAGGAAUAUUGGUCAAUGGCCGGAAGGCUGAACCAGCCAUGCCGCGUGAAGGUCAGUGCCCUAUGGGCGUUAAACUUCUUUUGUGCGGGAGCAAUAAUGGUCACGUGUGGCCAGACGAGAGUACCGUACGAAUAAGCAUCGGCUAACUCCGUGCCAGCAGCCGCGGUAAUACGGGGGAUGCAAGCGUUAACCGGGUUUUAUGGGUUUAAAGGGUGCGUAGGCUGGGAGGUAAGUUAGGUGUGAAAUGCCCCCGGUCAACGGGGUGAAGUGCCAUUGAUACUGCCUGGCUGGAAUGCAGAUGCGGUAGGAGGAAUGUGUGGUGUAGCGGUGAAAUGCAUAGAUAGCACACAGAACACCGAUUGCGAAGGCAUCUUACGAAUCCGCGAUUGACGCUGAUGCACGAAAGCGUGGGUAUCAAACAGGAUUAGAUACCCGAGUAGUC